GCUAGGAAGGUGGCUCAGUGGUAGAGCACGUGCCUUACAUGCACGAGGCCCUGGGUUCGAUUCCCCAGCUACCACAUAAGCA